rnacentral:misc_RNA from 1 species
AAGUCGUAACAAGGUUUCCGUAGGUGAACCUGCGGAAGGAUCUAACACGUAUCCAACGUUAAACCCCCCGUGAACCUUCAGUGCGCUCGCACUUUCUUAGAAAAGGUAGCAAUCCCUGGUAAAUCAUUGCCGAACAGUUUUGAUUCAGGGACCCGUUUUCAUGCAAAGGUGACGAGGGGGGCUCGCGCCCAGUGACCCGGUCGCCGGCCGUGUCGGCCUCUAGCGAUCGUAACUGCGCCAUUCGUACAGAGCUGGUGACACUUUCAGACACCAACAAGCAGAGGAAUGCCAGGCCACUUGCCUCACGCUCAGCACAGUCUACGCAGAAGUGCCUGCGCUUAAUUGUGCGGCCACCAAACUCGAACAACUGUUAACAAGAUAUCUUGGUUCUC